UUACUUACCUGCCAAGGGAGAUACCGUGAUCAAGAAGGCGGUUCACCCAGGGCGAGGCUCAGCCAUUGCACUUUGGCUGUGCUGACCCCUGCGAAUUCCCCAAAUGUGGGAAAUCACGACUUCAUAAUUUCUGGUAGUGGGGGACUGCGUUUGCGCUCUCCCCUG
ensembl:snRNA U1 U1 spliceosomal RNA